rnacentral:rRNA from 1 species
GAUGAACGCUGGCGGCGUGCUUAACACAUGCAAGUCGAACGGAAAGGCUCCUGCUUGCAGGGGUACUCGAGUGGCGAACGGGUGAGUAACACGUGGGUGAUCUGCCCUGCACUUCGGGAUAAGCCUGGGAAACUGGGUCUAAUACCGGAUAGGACGAUUGUUUGGAUGCCAUUGUGGAAAGUUUUUUCGGUGUGGGAUGAGCUCGCGGCCUAUCAGCUUGUUGGUGGGGUAAUGGCCUACCAAGGCGUCGACGGGUAGCCGGCCUGAGAGGGUGUACGGCCACAUUGGGCCUGAGAUACGGCCCAGACUCCUACGGGCGGCAGCAGUGGGGAAUAUUGCACAAUGGGCGCAAGCCUGAUGCAGCGACGCCGCGUGGGGGAUGCCGGCCUUCGGGUUGUAAACUCCUUUCGCUAGGGACGAAGCGCAAGUGACGGUACCUGGAGAAGAAGCACCGGCUAACUACGUG